UGGGGAAUAUUGCACAAUGAGCGAAAGCCUGAUGCAGCGACGCCGCGUGCGGGAUGAAGGCCUUCGGGUUGUAAACCGCUUUUGAUUGGGAGCAAGCGAGAGUGAGUGUACCUUUCGAAUAAGCACCGGCUAACUACGUGCCAGCAGCCGCGGUAAUACGUAGGUGGCAAGCGUUGUCCGGAAUUAUUGGGCGUAAAGGGCGUGUAGGCGGCCAGACAAGUCUGUCUUAAAAGUGCGGGGCUCAACCCCGUGAUGGGAUGGAAACUGUCGGGCUAGAGUGUCGGAGAGGAAAGCGGAAUUCCUAGUGUAGCGGUGAAAUGCGUAGAUAUUAGGAGGAACACCAGUGGCGAAAGCGGCUUUCUGGACGACAACUGACGCUGAGGCGCGAAAGCCAGGGGAGCAAACGGGAUUAGAUACCCCGGUAGUCCUGGCCGUAAACGAUGGGUACUAGGUGUAGGAGGUAUCGACCCCUUCUGUGCCGGAGUUAACGCAAUAAGUAUCCCGCCUGGGGAGUACGGCCGCAAGGCUG
rnacentral:rRNA from 1 species